UCUAAUGGGUGGAAGCUCUAAGCUGAUAUGGGACAACACGUACUCAACCUUUUUUAAAAAGGUAGUGCGAUACAAGGUAGAUUGUAUACCACCAGUCACAAAGCCCGUGGAAUCUUACUGAAUCAAGGGAAGGUUAUUCAUUUUAAUCUUGCUGUAAACAAAAAUUUCCAUUUCCGUUAUAUUCACUGCUGGAUUAAUAGGCAUUAAUAUGUCUAUUAAUCCUCUUUUUAUCUAUUAAACGUGUGUAAUAGUAACAACAGUGAGAUUAAUGAAGAUGAUAAUUAUUUUAUAUUUU